rnacentral:rRNA from 1 species
CCCUUAGAUGUUCUGGGCCGCACGCGCGCUACACUGACGAAGUCAGCGAGCAUGUCCUACGCCGACAGGUGCGGGGAAUCUUGUCAAACUUCGUCGUGAUGGGGAUUGAUUUUUGAAAUUCUUGAUCAUAAACGAGGAAUUCCUAGUAAGCGCAAGUCAGCAGCUUGCGUUGAUUACGUCCCUACCCUUUGUACACACCGCCCGUCGCUACUACCGAUUGAAUGGUUUAGUGAGAUCUUCGGAUUGGCGCCACUGCAGCUCAGCAAUGGGCUUGGUGGAUGCCGAAAAGUUGAUCAAACUUGAUCAUUUAGAGGAAGUAAAAGUCGUAACA